rnacentral:rRNA from 1 species
CAGGGCAUCGGGUAUCGUCGAGGAGUUCGAUUCUGGCUCAGAUUGAACGCUGGCGGGAUGCUUUACAUGCAGAGAUCUGAACAGCAGCCACGGACUGGAUGGUGGCGUGUGGCGAACGGGUGAGUAAUGUAUGGAACGUGCUGGCGGGGGAUAACUGCAAGCGUAGCUAAUACCACGCCCGCCCGUUCGGGGAAAGCGGGGGGACCUUCGGGCCUCGCACUAUUAGAGCGGCCGAUAUCGGAUUAGCUAGUUGGUGGGUAACGGCUCACCAAGGCGACGAUCCGUGACUGGUUUUGAGAGGACGACCAGCCACACUGGGACAGAGACGCAGCCAGACUCCUACAGGAGAAGCAACUGAUAAAUUUUGGACAAUGGGGGGAAACCUGAUCCAGCCAUCCCGCGUGUGCGAUGAAGGCCUUCGGGUUGUAAAGCACUUUUGGCAGGAAAGAAACGGCGCAGGAUAAUACCCCUGUGCAACUGACGGUACCUGCAGAAUAAGCACCGGCUAACUACGUGCCAGCAGCCGCGGUAAUACGUGGUGCAAGCGUUAAUCAGAAUUACUGGGCGUAAAGCGUGCGCAGGCGGUUCGGAAAAGAAAGAUGUGAAAUCCCAGAGCUUCCUUUGGAACUGCAUUUUUUAACUACCAAGGAGCUAGAGUGUCAGAGGGAGGUGAAUUCCGCGUGUAGCAGUGAAAUGCGCUAGAUAUGCGGAGGAACAUGAUAGCGAAAACAACUCCUGGGAUAACACUGACGCUCAUGCACGAAAGCGUGGGGAGCAAACAGGAUUAGAUACCCUGGUAGUCCACGCCUAAACGAUGUCAACUAGCUGUUGGGGCCUUCGGGCCUUGGUAGCGCAACUAACGCGUAGAAGUUGACCAACGCAGAGUACGGUCGCAAGAUUAAAACUCAAAGGAAUUGACGGGGACCCGCACAAGCAGUGGAUGAUGUGGAUUAAUUCGAUGCAACGCGAAAACCUACCCUUGACAUGUCUGGAAUCCCGAAGAGAUUUGGGGAGUGCUCGCAAGAGAACCGGAACACAGGUGCUGCAUGGCUGUCGUCAGCUCGUGUCGUGAGAUGUUGGGUUAAGUCCCGCAACGAGCGCAACCCUUGUCAUUAGUUGCUACGAGGCACUCUAAUGAGACUGCCGGUGACAAACCGGAGGAAGGUGGGGAUGACGUCAAGUCCUCAUGGCCCUUAUGGGUAGGGCUUCACACGUCAUACCACAAUGGUCGGGACGGGGGUCGCCAACCCGCGAGAGGCCAAUCCCAGAAACCCGAUCGUAGUCCGGAUCAGUCUGCAACUCGACUGCGUGAAGUCAGAUCAUGAAAGUAAUCGCGGAUCAGCAUGUCGCGGUGAAUACGUUCCCGGGUCUUGUACACACCGCCCGUCACACCAUGCGGAGUGGGUUUUACCAGAAGUAGUUAGCCUAACCGUAAGGAGGGCGAUUACCACGGUAGGAUUCAUGACUGGGGGUGAAGUCGUAAUGAGAGUAA